GCGCUUCCUUUGAGCCCUCGCCGCGCCUGCGCGUGGCGCCGGGCGGGUGGGGCGGGGGGGGGGGGGCGGUGUCAGGCUGCUGCGCCGGAGCAGCACGCGCUUGCGCUUAACUGGGGCCGUCUGACCCCGCGGUGGCGGCCUUUUUAACCGCGAGCUAGACGG
ensembl:snoRNA